rnacentral:lncRNA from 1 species
GAGAAGGGAUCGUGGAGCGGGCUGCUGCUGCAGAACUCAGCCCAUCCCUUCUCCGGCACUCACGGUCACGGCUCCGCGCCUGGCCUCGCUGCCCCGGCUCCUUAGGCCUGGCUUAUCCCCAGCAGGGCCCCCCCGGUGCAGGGGGGGUGCUCAGCGCCCGGCCGCGCCGCCCGACGUUUGUCGCGGCCGCCAGCACCGCCAGGAGCCCUGCGCCCGCCCCGAGGCCUCGGCCCUGCCCGCAGCUCGGCGCAAAGCCCCCGGACCUCGGCUCUCCCUGCCCGAGGGGCUCCCCGCAGCCCCGCUCCUCCCCGGGCCCUGCCCCCGCCGCGGCCUCGCCCGGGAACCGGCGGCGGCUCCCCGCGGGCCGCCCCCGAGGCCGGGGGGGGGGCGCCGAGGCCGGGGAGCUCCGAGGGGGCGGCGCGGCCCCGCGGGCAGAGCGCAGCGGCCCCCCCCGGGCCCCCCCCGCGGCCGCCACGCCCGGGGCCUCGCGGGCCGGGCCGGGCCGGGGCCUGUCAGGCGCCGCCGCCGCCGCCGGGCCGGGCCCUCACCGCAGGCACCGCCGCGGCCCGCCCUAGGCCGCCGCCGCCGCCAUGCCCGCCGGCUCGGCCCCCGCUCCGCUCCCCCGGGCCGCCGCUGAGCGCUGCCCGGGCCCAGGCGCCGCCGCCUCCCGUCAGGGCCGGGGCAGGCUCGGCGCCGCCAUGUUGGCUCCGUCCGCUCCGCUCCCCGCUCGCGGGCGGCUCUCGCGGCGCGACGCAACGUCCGGCCCCGCCCCCCCCGCCCCGAGGCCCCGCCCACAUCCGGGCCACGCGCACCUCGCCGCCUUCACGCCCCUCGGGAAGGCCGCGGGGAGCGGCGCCCUCUUGGAUAAGGGCGGGAGGGCGGCGCCUUCCGGGGCGGGGCUCGCCGCCUUCAGCGCCCUUCCGGAGCGGUGCGGCGCUGCCGCCAUGUUGGGUGCGGGCCGGCCGCCCGGCUGGGGGCGCGCCGCCGCCAUCUUGGGAGCGGGCGGGCGG